AGCAGCCGCGGUAAUACGGAGGGUCCGAGCGUUAUCCGGAAUCAUUGGGUUUAAAGGGUCCGUAGGCGGGCGUCUAAGUCAGUGGUGAAAUCCCGCAGCUCAACUGUGGAAUUGCCAUUGAUACUGGUCGCCUUGAAUUAGUGUGAAGUGGCUAGAAUAUGUAGUGUAGCGGUGAAAUGCUUAGAUAUUACAUAGAAUACCGAUUGCGAAGGCAGGUCACUAACACUAUAUUGACGCUGAUGGACGAAAGCGUGGGGAGCGAACAGGAUUAGAUACCCUGG
rnacentral:rRNA from 1 species